GACGAACGCUGGCGGCGUGCUUAACACAUGCAAGUCGAACGGAAAGGCCCUGCUUUUGUGGGGUGCUCGAGUGGCGAACGGGUGAGUAACACGUGAGUAACCUGCCCUUGACUUUGGGAUAACUUCAGGAAACUGGGGCUAAUACCGGAUAGGAGCUCCUGCUGCAUGGUGGGGGUUGGAAAGUUUCGGCGGUUGGGGAUGGACUCGCGGCUUAUCAGCUUGUUGGUGGGGUAGUGGCUUACCAAGGCUUUGACGGGUAGCCGGCCUGAGAGGGUGACCGGCCACGUUGGGAGCGGAAUAGGGCCCGGACCCCUAGGGGGGGCAAGAGGGGGGAAUUUUGCACAAUGGGGGGAAGCCUGAAGAAGCGACGCCGGGUGGGGGAGGACGGCUUUCGGGGUAAAACCCGUUUUCCCCUGUCGCGAAGGUGGGGGGACGGUAAGGGGUAAAAAGGCCCCGGCUAAUAACGG
rnacentral:rRNA from 1 species